rnacentral:rRNA from 1 species
GUGUCAGCAGCCGCGGUAAUACGUAGGGGGCAAGCGUUGUCCGGAAUCACUGGGCGUAAAGCGCGCGCAGGCGGUCUCUCACGUCCGGGGUGAAAGCCCAGAGCUCAACUCUGGGAUUGCCUUGGAUACGGGGAGACUUGAGGAUCGGAGAGGCAAGGGGAAUUCCACGUGUAGCGGUGAAAUGCGUAGAGAUGUGGAGGAACACCUGUGGCGAAGGCGCCUUGCUGGCCGAUUUCUGACGCUGAGGCGCGAAAGCGUGGGGAGCAAACAGGAUUAGAAACCCCUGUAGUCC